CAGCGUGCGUAACUGAACUGACCAACGGAUUACCAUGAUGCCUCAGCAGAGAGUGUAGCUCUGACUGUUGAUAGCUGAUUGCUGGCUGGUGUGGAGGUAUGAUGAAGAACUAGCUGAUGAUGACAGGUGGAUAACGGCGAAGAAAAACACCAACACCUCUACACAGCUGUUUUUGUGGUCUUUAAAGG